AGAACGAACGCUGGCGGCAGGCUUAACACAUGCAAGUCGAACGGUUGUAGCAAUACAGCAGUGGCAGACGGGUGAGUAACACGUGGGAACCUUCCUAGGGGUACGGAACAACUCAGGGAAACUUGAGCUAAUACCGUAUACGUCCGUGAGGAGAAAGAUUUAUCGCCCCUAGACGGGCCCGCGUAGGAUUAGGUAGUUGGUGAGGUAACGGCUCACCAAGCCUACGAUCCUUAGCUGAUCUGAGAGGAUGAUCAGCCACACUGGGACUGAGACACGGCCCAGACUCCUACGGGAGGCAGCAGUGGGGAAUCUUGGACAAUGGGCGCAAGCCUGAUCCAGCCAUGCGCGUGAGUGAAGAAGGCCUGGGUGUAAAGCUCUUUUACCAGGGACGAUAAUGACGGUACCUAGGAGAAUAAGACCCGGCAAACUUCGUGCCAGCAGUCGC
rnacentral:rRNA from 1 species